UCCCUGGUGGCUUAGAGGUUAAAGUGUCUGCCUCCAAUGCAGGAGACCCGGGUUCGAUCCCUGGGUCGGGAA
rnacentral:tRNA from 1 species